rnacentral:rRNA from 1 species
GACGAACGCUGGCGGCGCGCUUAACACAUGCAAGUCGAACGGAAAGGCCCUGCUUGCCGGGUACUCGAGUGGCGAACGGGUGAGUAACACGUGGGUGAUCUGCCCUGCACUUCGGGAUAAGCUUGGGAAACUGGGUCUAAUACCGGAUAGGACCGCACUUUAGUGCGUGUGGUGGAAAGUUUUUUCGGUGUAGGAUGAGCUCGCGGCCUAUCAGCUUGUUGGUGGGGUAAUGGCCUACCAAGGCGGCGACGGGUAGCCGGCCUGAGAGGGUGUACGGCCACAUUGGGACUGAGAUACGGCCCAGACUCCUACGGGAGGCAGCAGUGGGGAAUAUUGCACAAUGGGCGCAAGCCUGAUGCAGCGACGCCGCGUGGGGGAUGAAGGCCUUCGGGUUGUAAACUCCUUUCGCUAGGGACGAAGCUUUUUGUGACGGUACCUAGAUAAGAAGCACCGGCUAACUACGUG